rnacentral:rRNA from 1 species
GACGAACGCUGGCGGCGUGCUUAAGACAUGCAAGUCGUACGAGAAAGUCUCUUCGGAGAUGAGUAAAGUGGCGCACGGGUGAGUAACGCGUGGGUAAUCUGCCCUUAGGUUUGGGAUAACCCCGGGAAACCGGAGCUAAUACCGAAUGAGACCACGAUGACUUCGGUCGAUGUGGGAAAAGAUGGCCUCUUCUUGAAAGCUAUCGCCAAAGGAUGAGCCCGCGUUUGAUUAGCUAGUUGGUGAGGUAAUGGCUCACCAAGGCGACGAUCAAUAGCUGGUCUGAGAGGAUGAUCAGCCACACUGGAACUGAGACACGGUCCAGACUCCUACGGGAGGCAGCAGUCAGGAAUAUUGGGCAAUGGGCGAAAGCCUGACCCAGCAACGCCGCGUGAAGGAUGAAGGCCUUCGGGUCGUAACUUCUGUCGAGAGGGAAGAAUGUGUACGGGUGAACAAUCCGUGCAUUUGACGGUACC